rnacentral:rRNA from 1 species
AUUGAACGCUGGCGGCAGGCCUAACACAUGCAAGUCGAGCGGAUGGAGGGUGCUUGCUCCUGGAUCCCGCGGCGGGCGGGUGAGUGAUGCCUAGGAGUAUGCCUGGCUGUGGGGGAUAACAUCCGGAAAAGGGCGGUAAUAACACAACAGUCCUGAGGGAGAACGUGGGGGAGGUUCGGACCUCAUGCUCUGAGCUGAGCCUAGGCCGGACUAGCUAGUUGGUGGGGGAAAGGCCUACCAAGGCGGGGAUCCGUAAGUGGUCUGAGAGGAUGAGCAGUCACACUGGAGCUUGGACACGCUCCAGACUCCUACGGGGGGCAGCAGUCGGGAAUGUUGGGCAACGGGCGGGAGCCUGGUCCAGCCGUGCCGCGUGUGUGAAGACGGUCUUCGGAUUGUAAAGCACUUCAAGUGGGGAGGAAGGGCAGUAAGCUAAUACCUUGCUGUUUUGACGGUACCAAGAGAAUAAGCACCGGCUAACUUCGUG